rnacentral:lncRNA from 1 species
GUAAAGCACGAGGGAGAUAUUCCCAUCAAAUUUGGUACAGAAGUGAAACCUGUAGCAGACAUGGCAUGGCUCACUCAGAACAUGCGUUGGAACAACACACCAGAAGACCUACAAGUUUACUACUCUGCGAUGCUAGUAGGUCUAGAUGAGCCCUCAGUUCAGACUCCAAACCAUCGUGAAUUUAUACUGGCUGGUGACAAACAUUCCAGGAAACAGAAUUGUAGAAGGUCAUUUUAUUGCUGAAUAUCAACAACCCAAUCCAGACGCAAAUACAGGUUUGCAUCGGUAUGUGUACAUAGUUUACCGUCAACCAUGUGGGAAGAUGAUCUACAAAGAAAAACACAUUGAUGUGGGAGACAACGCGCCAAGGUACAAUUUUUCAAACCGGAUAUUUGCAGACAAGUACGGAUAUGCAGGGCCUUAUGCUGUUAAUUUCUUCACCACUAAGUCUCCCUCACCCCAAUACAUAUAGGUUCGAGUGUCUAAAAACAUUUGCAUCAACUCUAACGCGUUUGAG